AAUGAACGCUGGCGGCAUGCCUUACACAUGCAAGUCGAACGGCAGCAUGACCUAGCUUGCUAGGUUGAUGGCGAGUGGCGAACGGGUGAGUAAUGCAUCGGAACGUGCCUUUUAGUGGGGGAUAACGUAGCGAAAGUUACGCUAAUACCGCAUAUUCUCUGAGGAGGAAAGCAGGGGACCUUCGGGCCUUGCGCUAGAAGAGCGGCCGAUGUCGGAUUAGCUAGUUGGUGAGGUAAAGGCUCACCAAGGCAACGAUCCGUAGCGGGUCUGAGAGGAUGAUCCGCCACACUGGGACUGAGACACGGCCCAGACUCCUACGGGAGGCAGCAGUGGGGAAUUUUGGACAAUGGGCGCAAGCCUGAUCCAGCCAUGCCGCGUGAGUGAAGAAGGCCUUCGGGUUGUAAAGCUCUUUCGGCUGGGAAGAAAUCGCACCCUCUAAUACAGGGUGUGGAUGACGGUACCAGCAUAAGAAGCACUGGCUAACUACGUG
rnacentral:rRNA from 1 species